rnacentral:pre_miRNA from 2 species
UCUUAUGGAUGAACAAAGAAAGUGGUUUCUUGAGGUGGAAUAUAAUCUCAGUGAAGAUGCUGUGAA